GCGCCCGUAGCUCAGCUGGAUAGAGCGCCGGUCUACGGAACCGGAGGUCAGAGGUUCGAAUCCUCUCGGGCGCG
rnacentral:tRNA from 2 species